rfam:TPA: Bos taurus chromosome 9, whole genome shotgun sequence.
UCCCUGGUGGUCCAGUGGCUAAGACUCCCUGCUUCUAAUGCAAGGGGCCCAGGUUCAAUCCCUGGUCAGGGAA